UACGUAGGUGGCAAGCGUUGUCCGGAAUUACUGGGCGUAAAGCGUGCGCAGGCGGUUAUAUAAGUCAGAUGUGAAAUCCCCGGGCUCAACCUGGGACCUGCAUUUGAGACUGCAAGGCUAGAGUACGGUAGAGGGGGAUGGAAUUCCGCGUGUAGCAGUGAAAUGCGUAGAUAUGCGGAGGAACACCGAUGGCGAAGGCAAUCCCCUGGACCUGUACUGACGCUCAUGCACGAAAGCGUGGGGAGCAAACAGG
rnacentral:rRNA from 1 species